UUGUGGAGGAGGACGCCGAAGGUGGGGCUGAUGACUGGGGUGAAGUCGUAACAAGGUAGCCGUACCGGAAGGUGCGGCUGGAUCACCUCCUAACAGGGAGACAAAAACUGAUUAUUGAUGUCUAAUUUUUUAAUUUAGGCCAUAAUCCUGUCACCUUAGGUCGAUCGGCACCUCAGAUUAUUGAUCAAAGAGAAAUGAGCAAUCAAUUUUUUUUUCUUUAAUUUCAGUUCCUAAACUUGUCUAGGUCACACCCGACAAACUUUCUCCUGGGCUAUUAGCUCAGGCGGUUAGAGCGCACCCCUGAUAAGGGUGAGGUCCCUGGUUCAAGUCCAGGAUGGCCCAUUCGUUGUUGGGGGUAUAGCUCAGUUGGUAGAGCGCCUGCUUUGCAAGCAGGAUGUCAGCGGUUCGAGUCCGCUUACCUCCACUGAUCAACUACCUGAUAACUCAAUUUGGAGAUUGUCAUUUGUUUUUAGUGAUUUAGAUGUUGUUCUGAUGAUUGAACCUAGCUUCCUGUCAUCCCUUAUUUUUUUUAAGGUUGAUAAGACGCUGGGCUCUCUGAUAUUCGAAAGAAUUUCAGUUUGAUUCAGCAGAACCUUGACAACUGCAUAGAAAAAGUCUGGAAAGAAUAAAGCAUCUCAUAGAUGCAUGGAAAUUUAAAUUUCAGAGCUUCUGAUUUUUUUUUCUAUGAUUAAUUCUUGAGUUAGAGCAAUAAUCUAUGACUUGAAUUUAUAUAGUGAUGAACCUAAUUAAAUUUCAAUAGACCAUAGAUUUAAUGGUCAAGCUACAA
rnacentral:misc_RNA from 1 species